rnacentral:rRNA from 1 species
AGUAACGCGUGGAUAACCUGCCUCACACUGGGGGAUAACAGUUAGAAAUGACUGCUAAUACCGCAUAAGCGCACAGUACCGCAUGGUACAGUGGGAAAAACUCCGGUGGUGUGAGAUGGAUCCGCGUCUGAUUAGCCAGUUGGCGGGGUAACGGCCCACCCAAAGCGACGAUCAGUAGCCGACCUGAGAGGGUGACCGGCCACAUUGGGACUGAGACACGGCCCAA